GACGUAGGGCGCGAGCGUUGUCCGGAUUUAUUGGGCGUAAAGAGCUCGUAGGCGGCUUGUUGCGUCAGCUGUGAAAACCCGCAGCUCAACUGUGGGCUUGCAGCUGAUACGGGCAGGCUUGAGUUCGGUAGGGGAGACUGGAAUUCCUGGUGUAGCGGUGAAAUGCGCAGAUAUCAGGAGGAACACCGGUGGCGAAGGCGGCUACCUGGCCCAUUCUUGACGCUGAGGCGCGAAAGCUAGGGGAGCAAACGGG
rnacentral:rRNA from 1 species